UAUAAGCAUGGCUAGCUAUUAGAUACUAGUGGUAUUUAAUACUUGUUAGAGGUAACAUUUUGUAACUAGUAAUAUUUUAUAAAAAUUAUUAUAUUAAAUUAUACGAGAUAAAAUAUUUAAUUAAGGUGCAUUAGCUAAACACCUUUUUCAGUAUUUCUCAAAAUGAAUAAUAUAUAUAUAUCUGGAGAUUAGAGAGGAGCAGUUUAUAUUAUAAACAGAAAGCCAAGCCAAAGUGCAUCAAUGUGUAUAAUAUUAUAUUUAUGUUAUAUUUGAAAUCUAUAUUUAAUUAAAGCCCAAAAACGGCCAUGAAACAAUCCGGAAGAACCACCCAAUCCAAGGCUGUAAGUUUGUCUUAUGCAGUGGCUUUGGCACAUAGGGGGUCGCCUUUUCCAAUGCACGAAACAGCCAAACUAAUAAUCCCACAAAAUUGCUUAGCUGCCAACUUAUCAGAUAUAUGGACACACAACACACACACAUCUAAUGUACAGUAUUGUUUCUCGUCUCACAGUUUGUUCUUUUUUUUUCAUUAUUUAUUAUAUAUAAAAAGCCACAGCUAUUGACAUGUUUUUAUACAUCUUUGCCUUCAAAAUCUAAAAUUAUUAUUAGCAGGAAAUGAUAUGGUAAGUGGCAAAAAGAUUGGAAAAAAAAUAAGAGAAAAAAUUUAUCAGCCGUCUCUACAAAGUCCCAUCUCAUCACAAAUUCUCCGGCUGGAUUUUGUGCUGUCUUUGCCUAAAGAGCAUAUUAUAAAGAAAGAGGAGCCACUUUUGUUGAACUUAAUUCCUCCUUUCACAAAAUAUAGUAUUGCAUCUCUCUUACAUCAUUUUCAUGGGUUUUAAUUGCCUCAUUAAUAAUGGUAAGUGAUCUAAUUGGGCUACAAUUAUUGUCAAGCAUACAUUUUUGUUUUUGUUACAUUAGUUUUUUUGCUGAAACUGAUACAUAUGCUUUGUUACAUAUUAGUUGGAAAAUGAUAUAUGCUUUGUGAUUUAUUAUUUUGUUAUAUGCUACUAUACAAAUAAAUGUAGUUCAUACUUAUCUUCUAGAGCUGUAAAUAUUUUCAAUGCUUCAUUAUUAGAAAAGGAAAAAAAACUGUUUCAAAAAAAAAAAAAUUGUUGUUUUUAUAGACGUGGUUAACGGCAUAAGAUAGGAAUUGAUAUUCAUAUUUUUUGUCGUUUUCUUUAAAAAAAAGUGUAAUAACUUUGAAAAAGAGAAAGAAAAACCAAUUUUCAUAGAAACUAAAAUUAUAAUUAGUUGAUUUUUUAGCUAAGAACUUUUGCAAAGUAACUUUUUUUCUUUAUAUUACUUUAAAAGUUGAGAGAACGUUUGGAACGCGUACAUGAUCCUUCUUACACGUAGAAAGACCAUACUGCUUUAAUGAACGUAUAUCUAAUUUGAUUGUGAAAUAUGAAUAUGUCAUAUCAUAUUAUCUCUCCGGACCCUCUUGGUUGUUAGAGUAAUUAAUUAAUUAGAUAUACAUUGAUCAUCAAAUUAAAUUAUUGCAUGAUUGCUUAUUGCAUUAUAAUGUAACAUCAUAUAUAUAUUUGUAUAUUGAUGAGUAAUGAGAUUUUACAUUUUAUGGAUCCAAAAAGAGUACAUAUUUACCAAUUAAGGGAAGGGAACGAAGAAUAAUCUCUGCCUGGCUCCCUGGAUGCCAUCUAAGAAACUUAGUCAAAAAAUAUUUGAUCUUUCGUAGUUGGCAUCACGGGAGUCAUGCAGGUUUAAUUUCAUUAAGAAUUAAUUUAUAAUUCAGCUGUCCAAAAGUAAAAGUUCAUUAAGAAGUUUGUUUGCUUUUUGUUAUUUUAAAAUACAUAUUAAGAUUAUGAAACACAAUUUAAUAUAUUGAUUGAUGA